rnacentral:rRNA from 1 species
UAGGGUGCAAGCGUUGUCCGGAAUUAUUGGGCGUAAAGAGCUCGUAGGCGGUCUGUCGCGUCUGCUGUGAAAGCUCGGGGCUUAACCCCGGGCCUGCAGUGGGUACGGGCAGACUAGAGUGCGGUAGGGGAGACUGGAAUUCCUGGUGUAGCGGUGAAAUGCGCAGAUAUCAGGAGGAACACCGGUGGCGAAGGCGGGUCUCUGGGCCGUAACUGACGCUGAGGAGCGAAAGCGUGGGGAGCGAACAGG